GGCAUUUCUAUGUUGAUCGGUAGAUUCCCCUCAGCCCUAACAGAUAAAGGAAUUUCAACCGGUCGCUCAAAGAUUGAGAAUGGGCAGAAUGACAGAUACAGAAUGUAUCAUCUCUUGGCUCUUAUAACUCUGAUGCUCUAUAUCCAGGAAGCAGUUCAGGUGUUAGAAACGUGAGAGUAAAAAGGACAGGAGGGAGUACCACAGUUCUGCAGUUCUAAGUCAGGCCUUUUCCCUGGCAUGCUUGACUGCUUGAUGGCUUGAGGGUGCAUGCAGUUGCGGGGAUGGACUCUGUGGCGAUGAUUCACGCUGCAGGUUUUGUUUGC